rnacentral:tRNA from 1 species
GCCUGAGUGGCUCAGUUGAUUAAGCGUCUGACUUUGGCUCAGGGCAUGAUCUCAGUUUGUGGGUUCGAGCCCCGCGUUGGGCU